AAUGGGGGGUGAGACCCCUCCAGGGCUGGCAAAGAGGCUCUGGGGAUCACUGGAGAGGGUGGAGGGCGAGGGGCGUCCAAGGGGUUGUGGUUUUUGGGGAGGGGGAAGGGUGGAGGAUGUUGUGGGGAGGGGGUGGUGAAAAGUUGGGGUGGUGCGGGGGCCGUGGGGUUGUUUGGGCUCUCUUGGGGGGAUUAUGGGUGUAUUUGGGCUCCCCUGGGGCUGGGGGGGGGUCCCCAUGUGUGAGGAGGUGGGCGAGGGGACCCCACUGCUGGUCCUGGCUGUGGCUCUGCCCUGCCAGACCCUCUCCGUGUUGGGGGGUUCACCAGCACCCCCCUGUCCUGGCCCCCGGGGCUCACCCCGAGGCACCCAGCGCGGCCGGGUCUCCUCUGCUCCUCCCAGACUUCGGCAACACCCUUGGGCUUCCCGGCACCGCAAAGGCUCCUCCUUCGCCUUCCCCACCUGCGGGGCCCCAUCCCGGGGACAGCAGCACCGAGGCACCGGCCCCGUGUCCCGGGGACGCUGCUGGCGGCAGCUCCAGCCCGUUCCAGCAGCGGCAUCGCCCCGCUCCCGGCAGCCGGCUGUGCGAGACAGCGUGGGGUCCCAUCCCGGGGCUCCCCGGGGACCCCACGUUCAGCACCGGACCGUGGCGUGGGUGGAUCCCCGGGGACCCCACGUUCAGCACCGGACCGUGCCCUGGGGGGCUCCCCGGGGACCCCACGUUCAACACCGGACCGUGGCGUGGGUGGCUCCCCGGGGACCCCACGUUCAGCACCGGACCGUGCCUUGGGGGGCUCCCCGGGGACCCCACGUUCAGCACCGGACCGUGCCCUGAGGGGCUCCCCGGGGACCCCACGUUCAGCCGUGCCGUGGGUGGCUCGCCGGGGACGCGGUGCCCGCCGGCUCCGGUUUACCGGAGGAAGCGCCGUCCCCUCCCGGCGCGGUUGUGCUGCGCCCCGGAUGUGCCGCUCCGACGCCAAGAUGGACGGGGCGGCCACCUGUCCGGCCCCGUGUCACCAGAUCCCUGUGUCCCCAAGUCCCCGCAUCCUCAUGUCCCCAGAUCGCAUUGUCCCUGCAUCUUGAUGGCCCCGGGUCCCUUUGUCCCCACAUUCCCACGGUCCAGUGUUCCUGGAUCGCGAUAUCUCCCGUUUCCCAGGUCCCUUUGUCCCAAAAUCCCCACAUCCCAGUGUCCCCGCAUCCCCCGAUCCCUUUGUGCCCGCUUCCCGGUGUCCCCACGUGUCCGCAGAGUUCGCGGCAGGGCUGGCUCCCGGUACCGGGGCCGUUUCACGAUCCCGGGGUGGGAGAUGGGCGGAGGAAACGGCAGGAGUGUGUGUGUGGGGGGGGAAUUUUGGGGGGUUUCUCCCGGUGCCCGCAGGGUCCCGGCGCUGCGGUGCCGCCCGGUACCGACAGGGGGCCGCCCCGCCUCCCCCGGGGCGGAUAAAGUCGGCGGCACCGGCACCGGCACCGGGCGGGAUGGCCCGGGGCGCGCUCCGCCUGCUCUGCUGCGCCGCUGCCCUGCUGGCUGCCGCAGGUACCGGGCACCGGGGAGGGUCCGCGGGGUCCCAGGGGCACGUGGGAGAUGCAGCACCGGGGGGCUGGGUGCUUCCCGGUACCAGCGGUGGGUGCGUCUGUGGCCUCCCCCCGCCCAGUUCCAGGUAUGGGGAGAAGCGUCCAGGUGCUCCGGGGCACCGGGGGAGUUCGGGGAGGCGACCACGCGUUGCCUCGCGGUCUGCACCGGCAGCCCGGUGGGGCACUGGGUGGGGGGUUCCGUGCCCCUUUUGGGGCUGGGGUCACCGGGGGGGGCUGCACCUCCUCCCCGGGAGUGCCAGGCUGCACCGGAGCACCCUGCCCCUCCCGGCCGAUGCGGUGCCUGGGCUGCCAAACCGGCUGGUCCUGGCACGGGUACCCUGGCACUCCCGGGGCAAAGGAGUAUCCCGGGCCACUGUGGGCCCCCCGUUUCCAGCCUGGGUCCCCCACACCCUCCCUGCACCCCGAGGGGCCUCGGCUCACCCAUCCUGGCACACUGGGUGCUUGGCCCUGGGCUCCAUGCCACCCUGGCAGAGGGUGGCAGCUGGUGGGGACAGCCCAUCCCAGUGAGCCUGGCAGCUGUGGGGACCCCCAGCCACGCUGUGCCCCUGCGUGCUGGCUCUGCCAGGGGACAUUUCUGUCCGGUGUCCCCCUGGGGCCAGUCUGGACUUGCUGCUCCUCUUGUGCAAACAGGAUUCGGGCAGAUAAGGGGCACUGCCCGGCAAACCUGCUCUGUCCCACGUGGCCGCGGGAGAGUCCCUGGCACGCCUGGCCCUGAGGGUGUCCGGUGGGUGCCACAAGGGCUGGGUCAGCACGUGUCCCUGUGGCCUGGCACUGCCCGCUGCUGCCACGCUGCUCCGCUUGUCCCCAGCAGUGCUGUGGCCGUGCCAUGACAGCUCGGGAAAAGCUCUUCUGGUUCUGGAUUUCUGGGAUUUGAUCCUGGCUAAAUGCCAGCUUUCUGUGUGAUCAAAAUCACCUGGGAAAUGAUCUCUGUGAGGCCAGGAGGUGGGGCAGGUGCUGCUGCCCUGCCAGGACCCUGCCAUGUGCUUGCUCACCAGCUCUCUCCUCCAAGGUCUGGAGCCAGGACGUGGCACUGAUCCUGCCAUUACAGUAUCUCAGAACAGCUCAGGGACAGCCGUGUCACCGUCUCCAUCCCGCUCAGCCACAGCCACCAGCCAGGGCACUCAGAGUGUGAGUCUGUCUGGCCCUGCCUCGGGAAGGGUCCGUGCAGUUCUAUCCAGCUCCACCACACCAACAACCCCAUCCAGUACCUCGGGAUCAACAUCUCCAUCCUCUGCAUCCAGCACCAGAACACCAACUCCAUCAAAGACCUCGAGAUCAACACCUCCAUCAUCUCCAUCCAGCCCCACCACACCAACAACCCCAUCCAGUACCUCAGGAUCAAAACCACCUCUAUCAUCUCCACCCAGCCCCACCACACCAACCCCUCCACACAAUAUUUCAGAAUCAACACCUCCAGUAUCUUCAUCCAACACCACCACAGCACCAUCUUCAGCCAGGACUCCGGGAUCAACGACACCUCUGAUACCCUCAUCCAAUGCCACCACGGCACCACCUCCACCCCGCACGAGUGUGUCCAGACCCACAGAGCAUCCAUCCAACUCAACCACACCUCCAGCCCCGUCCUCACCCAGGCCCUCUGGGCCUGCCUCUCCCAGCUCCCCCACCGUGAACCCGUGUCCCAACAGCACCAGCACUGUCACCACCAGCUCCAGGAGGACAGCAGCCACUGGCAGCACGGCUGGGAACUCUGAGCAGCACCCCACUGAGCUGAGCCCUGCUGUGGUUGUCCUCAUCUCCCUGGCCGUGUGCCUGCUGCUGCCGGGGGUGGCCGUGCUGCUGGUGCAGCUGUCCCGGCGCGGGACCCCCCCCUUCCAGCACCUGGAUGAGGUGCCCAUGGUGCGUGGGGGGGCCGGGGGGUGCCGAGGGGGGGUUUGUGGGGGGGGCAGCAGUUCCAGGGUGCGAGUGCUCACCCCGCUCUCUUUCUCUUCUUCCCCAGAGCAGAGUGACGGAGGGGUCCCCUGUCACGCCCCCCUCCCCCAGCUGACCCCCCGGCUGCAGCCCCCCGGGGCUCCCCGCGCUGCUGAAUAAAGAAUCUGCCGCCCUGCCUCCGCUUUCCCGUCUG